GUCGAUCUGGGCGGGGCCGAGGUCGAGCGUGGUCAGUGCCCGCAGAUAGGGCAGUGUCUCGGUGACCGACAGUUCCACUCCGGCGAUCUGCC
rnacentral:tRNA from 1 species